AGAGUCAACGCUGGCGGCGUGCCUAACACAUGCAAGUCGAACGAGAAAGGGGUAGCAAUACCCUGAGUAAAGUGGCGCACGGGUGAGUAACACGUGACUAACCUACCCUUGAGUGGGGGAUAACUGAGGGAAACCUUAGCUAAUACCGCAUAAUACCCACGGGUCAAAGGAGCAAUUCGCUCGAGGAGGGGGUCGCGGCCGAUUAGUUAGUUGGCGGGGUAAUGGCCCACCAAGACGAUGAUCGGUAU
rnacentral:rRNA from 1 species